UACGUAGGGUGCGAGCGUUAAUCGGAAUUACUGGGCGUAAAGCGUGCGCAGGCGGUUUUGUAAGCCAGAUGUGAAAGCCCCGGGCUUAACCUGGGAAUGGCAUUUGGGACUGCAAGGCUGGAGUGUGGCAGAGGAGACUGGAAUUCCUGGUGUAGCAGUGAAAUGCGUAGAUAUCAGGAGGAACACCGGCGGUGUAGACGGCUAUCUGGACAGUAACUGACGCUGAGACACGAAAGCGUGGGGAGCAAACAGG
rnacentral:rRNA from 1 species